rnacentral:rRNA from 1 species
AUUGAACGCUGGCGGCAUGCCUUACACAUGCAAGUCGAACGGUAACAGGUCUUCGGAUGCUGACGAGUGGCGAACGGGUGAGUAAUACAUCGGAACGUGCCCGAGAGUGGGGGAUAACGAGGCGAAAGCUUUGCUAAUACCGCAUACGAUCUCAGGAUGAAAGCAGGGGACCGCAAGGCCUUGCGCUCACGGAGCGGCCGAUGGCGGAUUGGGGAGUUGGUGGGAUAAAAGCUUACCAAGCCGACGAUCUGUAGCUGGGCUGAGAGGACGACCAGCAAAACUGGGACUGAGACACGGCCCAGACUCCUCCGGGAGGCAGCAGUGGGGAAUUUUGGACAAUGGGCGCAAGCCUGAUCCAGCCAUGCCGCGUGCAGGAUGAAGGCCUUCGGGUUGUAAACUGCUUUUGUACGGAACGAAAAGACUCUGGUUAAUACCUGGGGUCCAUGACGGUACCGUAAGAAUAAGCACCGGCUAACUACGUGCCAGCCGCCGCAGUAAAAC